CCUACGGGAGGCAGCAGUGGGGAAUAUUGCACAAUGGGCGAAACCCUGAUCCAGCGACGCCGCGUGAGUGAAGAAGUAUCUCUGUAUGUUAAGCUCUAUUUGCAGGGAAGAAGAAAGACGGUCGCUGACUAAGAAGACUCUGCCAACUACGUGCCAUCAGCCGCGGUCCUACGUAGGGGCCACGGUGUAGCCGGGUUUACGGGGGGUAAAGGGAGCGUAGACGGCUGUGCAAGUCGGAAGUGAAAGCCCAGGGCUCAACCCUGGGACUGCUGUGGAAACUGUGGAUCUAGAGUGCUGGAGAGGUAAGUGGAAUUCGUAGUGUAGCGGUGAAAUGCGUAGAUAUCAGGAGGAACACCAGUGGCGAAGGCGGCUUACUGGACAGUAACUGACGUUGAGGCUCGAAAGCGUGGGGAGCAAACAGGAUUAGAUACCCCAGUAGUC
rnacentral:rRNA from 1 species